GGGGAUUUAGCUCAGUGGUAGAGCGUUUGCCUAGCAACCGCAAGGUCCUGGGUUCGGUCCCCAGCUCCCA
rfam:Rattus norvegicus chromosome 5, whole genome shotgun sequence.